GCGCCUUAUGCAUGCAAGUCGAGCGAAGCUUUUCAGUAGUUUACUACAGAAAAUGACUGAGCGGCGAACGGGUGAGUAACGCGUGAGCAACCUACCUUAGUUACUGGGAUAGCCCGAGGAAACUCGGAUUAAUACCGGAUAUUCUUAUUUAAUCACAUGAUUUUUUAAGGAAAGGUCAGCCGAACUAAGAUGGGCUCGCGUUCUAUCAGCUAGUUGGUAGGGUAAUAGCCUACCAAGGCUACGACGGAUAGCUGGUCUGAGAGGACGAUCAGCCACACUGGGACUGAGACACGGCCCAGACUCCUACGGGAGGCUGCAGCAGGGAAUAUUGCGCAAUGAGCGAAAGCUUGACGCAGCGACACCGCGUGUGGGAUGACGGAUCUAGGUUUGUAAACCACUUUCAGGAGGGAAGAAAAUGACGGUACCUCCACAAGAAGCCCCGG
rnacentral:rRNA from 1 species